UCGCCAUAACAUUGUGAUUGAUGAAAAGAAUUUUCAUAGAAUCACAUAUAGACUUGAGCUGAUUGAAUCUAUCAUAUGACCGAUGUUGAGAUUUAACGAUUCAUCCAUGACCUGAUAUCUGGUUGGAACUCACGAUAGAGAGACUGUAUCAUGCGCUAACUGCACUUAGAGGUUUAUCUUUUAUUUUGCUGAGUUGCCACUACAUACUGCUAGGUAUCACUAGUGGAUUGUGAGACUAAUGCGGAUCAUUUUGAUGAUCAAUGAUCCUUAGUAGGCUGAAAUGAAAUUGUUCCAAUCCAUUGAAAAGAGUUUCAAUGAUAUUGUGAUAGAG
rnacentral:lncRNA from 1 species